UACGUAGGGUGCGAGCGUUAUCCGGAAUUACUGGGCGUAAAGAGCUCGUAGGUGGUUUGUCGCGUUGUUCGUGAAAACUCACGGCUUAACUGUGAGCGUGCGGGCGAUACGGGCAGACUGGAGUACUGCAGGGGAGACUGGAAUUCCUGGUGUAGCGGUGGAAUGCGCAGAUAUCAGGAGGAACACCGGUGGCGAAGGCGGGUCUCUGGGCAGUAACUGACGCUGAGGAGCGAAAGCGUGGGGAGCGAACAGG
rnacentral:rRNA from 1 species